CCGCCAGCUUGUCCUUAAUCUGCAAAAUCAUAAAUCGUGGUUUUUAUGUCAAAUUAUUCUAACUAAUGUAAUGUUUGAAUAAUCCAUUGAAUCCUUGAGCAAAUUUGGCAUGAGGUUUGGUGCAUUGGAAUCAAGUUUGUCAUGGAACCAUCUGCAUAACUGCAUUCAUAUGGAAAGAAAUCUAAGGGACAGUUCAUCACCCAAGAUUCCAAGAAGCAUCAAGAAUUUUUGAUAAUGUCUACACUCAAUGAGUCUGCUAAAGGGUUCUCGGCAAAUCACUUCCAGGAUAUAACAAAGUUUGAAAUCUGCGAUAAGCAAAAUCGAAGAAUUCCCUUAGAAACUACUAGAAGGAAAUUGUAUGGUUAUAAGAGAAGAAGAUGGAGAAGAGAGAAGUUAAUUGCAGAAUGAUUUGAUGAUUGAAUCUAGUGACAUGUACUGUUGUUUAUAUAGAGAUCAAGAAGUGCCAAAGA